rnacentral:misc_RNA from 1 species
GAUGAAGAACGCAGCGAAAUGCGAUACGUAGUGUGAAUUGCAGAAUUCAGUGAAUCAUCGAGUCUUUGAACGCACAUUGCGCCCCCUGGUAUUCCGGGGGGCAUGCCUGUCCGAGCGUCAUUGCUGCCCUCAAGCACGGCUUGUGUGUUGGGCCUCCGUCCUCCUCCCGGGGGACGGGCCCGAAAGGCAGCGGCGGCACCGCGUCCGGUCCUCGAGCGUAUGGGGCUUCGUCACCCGCUCUUGUAGGCCCGGCCGGCGCUUGCCGACACAUCAAUCUUUUUUCCAGGUUGACCUCGGAUCAGGUAGGGAUACCCGCUGAACUUAAGCAUAUCAGUAAGCGGAGGA